UCAAACGUUGAAGGGCUUCUGACGGAUGCCUUGGCGUAGAGAGGCGAUGAAGGACGUGGCAAGCUGCGAUAAGAACCGGGGAGGCGCUAGCACCCUUUGAUCCGGUUAUUUCCGAAUGGGGGAACCCACCUUUACAGUCUUCCAACUCUGUUCCGGCUUCGGUCGGGUCAGCGAUUGGCGGAUUGUUGAAAGGUAUAAUGAGCUGAAUACAUAGGCUUCAUUAAGCGAACGCGGGGAACUGAAACAUCUCAGUACCCGUAGGAAAGGACAUCAACCGAGACUCCCGUAGUAGUGGCGAGCGAACCGGGACCAGGCCAGUGCUCUUGUGAAAUAAAGACGAACGAUCUGGAAAGGUCGGCCAUAGUGGGUGAAAGCCCCGUAGUCAUCAAACAGCAAGAGACUCGAGUAGGGCGGGACACGUGAAAUCCUGUCUGAACAUGGGGGGACCACCCUCCAAGCCUAAGUACUCCUCUACGACCGAUAGUGAACAAGUACCGUGAGGGAAAGGUGAAAAGCACCCCGACAAGGGGAGUGAAACAGAUCCUGAAAUCGGAAGCCUACAAGCAGUCGGAGCCCCCAAGCGGGGUGACGGCGUACCUUUUGUAUAAUGGGUCAGCGACUUCAUGUGUCGAGCAAGCUUAAGCCGUUAGGUGUAGGCGCAGCGAAAGCGAGUCUGAAUAGGGCGCUAAGUUCGACGUAUGACGACCCGAAACCAAGUGAUCUAUCCAUGAGCAGGUUGAAGGUUGGGUAACACCAACUGGAGGACCGAACCGGUGAAUGUUGAAAAAUUCUCGGAUGACUUGUGGAUAGGGGUGAAAGGCCAAUCAAACUUGGACAUAGCUGGUUCUCCGCGAAAUCUAUUUAGGUAGAGCGUCCGACGAAUUCCUUAGGGGGUAGAGCACUGGAUGGUUGCGGGCUGCGCGAGCGGUACCAAUACUAACCAAACUCCGAAUACCUAAGAGAACUAUCGGGCAGACACACGGCGGGUGCUAACGUCCGUCGUGAAAAGGGAAACAACCCUAACCAUCAUCUAAGGCCCCCAAGUACUGGCUAAGUGGGAAACGAUGUGGGAUUGCUUUGACAAUCAGGAGGUUGGCUUAGAAGCAGCCAUCCUUUAAAGAAAGCGUAACAGCUCACUGAUCAAGCGAUCCUGCGCGGAAAAUGUAACGGGGCUCAAGCCAGUCGCCGAAGAUAUGGGUUUGCACUUUGUGCAAGCGGUAGCGGAGCGUUCCGUAAGCCGGUGAAGGUCAGGCGUGAGCCUGGCUGGAGGUAUCGGAAGUGAGAAUGCUGACAUGAGUAACGAUAAGAGUGUGAGAGACACUCUCGCCGAAAGACCAAGGGUUCCUGCGUAAAGCUAAUCUGCGCAGGGUUAGUCGGCCCCUAAGGCGAGGCUGAAAAGUGUAGCAUUGAGGGACGAAGGUGGCACGGGAUGACCAAAAUUGGAUUUUGGUGGAAACGAGCAAGGUGAUGAGAGGGAGAAAAGAAACUCUGCUUGAGCCAAGCUGUGAUACGGUUCUGACUCGGUCUCUCCCUCAAAAGAGAGAUCAUCAGAGCUCAUUCCUAACUGUCAGUCUUCCUAGAAAAGCUCAAAAAAGCGGUCCUUUCAAGACCUGUACCUGAAACCGACACAGGUAGGUGGGUAGAGAAUACCAAGGGGAGCGAGAGAACUCUCUCUAAGGAACUCGGCAAAAUGGCCCCGUAACUUCGGGAGAAGGGGUACCCCCCAAGAGGGGGGUCGCAGUGACCAGGCCCAGGCGACUGUUUACCAAAAACACAGGUCUCCGCAAAGUCGUAAGACAAUCUAUGGGGGCUGACGCCUGCCCGGUGCCGGAAGGUGAAGGGAGUGGGUUAUUCACCUUUGGGAGGAAAAGCUUACAACCGAAGCCCCGGUGAACGGCGGCCGUAACUAUAACGGUCCUAAGGUAGCGAAAUUCCUUGUCGGGUAAGUUCCGACCCGCACGAAAGGCGUAACGAUCUGGGCACUGUCUCAGAGAGAGACUCGGUGAAAUAGACAUGUCCGUGAAGAUGCGGACUCCCUACACCUGGACAGAAAGACCCUAUGAAGCUUUACUGUAGCCUGAGAUUGGGUUUGGGCUUCUCUUGCGCAGUCUAGGUGGGAGGCGUUGAAAACUCCCUUCCGGGGGGAUUAGAGCCAUCAGUGAGAGACCACUCUGGAGAAGCUAGAAUUCUAAUAUCCUUGAUCAGGACACUUGACAGUCUCAGGUGGGCAGUUUGACUGGGGCGGUCGCCUCCUAAAAGGUAACGGAGGCGUGCAAAGGUUCCCUCAGGCUGGACGGAAAUCAGCCGUAGAGUGCAAAGGCAGAAGGGAGCUUGACUGCAAGACUUACAAGUCGAGCAGGGGCGAAAGCCGGCCUUAGUGAUCCGACGGUACCACGUGGAAGGGCCGUCGCUCAACGGAUAAAAGUUACUCUAGGGAUAACAGGCUGAUCUUCCCCAAGAGUUCACAUCGACGGGAAGGUUUGGCACCUCGAUGUCGGCUCAUCGCAACCUGGGGCGGUAGUACGUCCCAAGGGUUGGGCUGUUCGCCCAUGAAAGCGGUACGUGAGCUGGGUUCAGAACGUCGUGAGACAGUUCGGUCCAUAUCCGGUGCAGGCGGUAGAGCAUUGAGGGGAGCCUCCCAUAGUACGAGAGGACCUGGGAGGACGCACCACUGGUAUACCAGUUCUUGUGCCAACAGGAUACGCUGGGUAGCCAAGUACGGAGCGGAUAACUGCUGAAAGCAUCUAAGUAGGAAGCCCACCCCAAGAUGAGUGCUCUCCAUUAGGCCACGGCAAGACAAGCCGUUUGAUAGGUAUCAGGUGUAAGAUCAGCAAUGAUUGGAGCUGAGAUGCACUAAUAGGCCGAAAGAGUUUGACUU
rnacentral:rRNA from 1 species